rnacentral:rRNA from 1 species
UACGGGGGGGGCAAGCGUUGUUCGGAAUUACUGGGCGUAAAGGGUUCGUAGGUGGCUUGUUAAGUCAGACGUGAAAUCCCUCGGCUCAACCGGGGAACUGCGUCUGAGACUGAUGAGCUCGAGUGCAGGAGAGGAACGCGGAAUUCCAGGUGUAGCGGUGAAAUGCGUAGAUAUCUGGAGGAACACCGGUGGCGAAGGCGGGUCGUUGGCGGACUGCAACUGAGACUAG